GAUGAACGCUGACAGCAUGCUUAACACAUGCAAGUCAACUGGAAUGUGGGUUUUUAACUUAGGUUUGGGUGGCGGACGGGUGAGUAACGCGUAAAGAACUUGCCUCACAGCUAGGGACAACAUUUGGAAACGAAUGCUAAUACCUAAUAUUAUGAUAAUAGGGCAUCCUAUAAUUAUGAAAGCUAUAAGCGCUGGGAGAGAGCUUUGCGUCCCAUUAGCUAGUUGGAGAGGUAACGGCUCACCAAGGCGAUGAUGGGUAGCCGGCCUGAGAGGGUGAUCGGCCACAAGGGGUCUGAUACACGGCCGUUACUCCUGCGGGAGGCAGCUGUGGGGUAUUUUGGACAAUGGACCGAGCUUCUGAUCCAGCAAUUCUUUGUGCACGAUGAAGUUUUUCGUAAUGUAAAGUGCUUUCAGUUGGGAAGAAACAAAUGACGGUACCAACAGAAGAAGAGACGGCUAACUACGUG
rnacentral:rRNA from 1 species